GAUAAACGCUGGCGGCGUGCCUAACACAUGCAAGUCGAACGCCCUUUUGCGCAAGUGAGAGGGAGUGGCGGACGGGUGAGUACCACGUGGGUACCUACCUUGAGGUGAGGAAUACCACCGAGAAAUCGGUGACAAGACCGCAUACGCUUGGCAACAAGCAAAGUCUCGCAAGAGACGCCACAAGAUGGGCCUGCGCCUGAUUAGCUAGUUGGUGAGGUAAUGGCUCACCAAGGCGACGAUCAGUAGCUGGUCUGAGAGGAUGAUCAGCCACACUGGGAUUGAGAACGGCCCAGACUCCUACGGGGGCAGCAGUGAGGAAUUUCGUCAAUGGGGGCAACCCUGAACGAGCAACGCCGCGUGCAGGACGACACUUUUCGGAGCGU
rnacentral:rRNA from 1 species